rnacentral:rRNA from 1 species
CCAGACUGGAACUGAGACACGGUCCAGACUCCUACGGGAGGCAGCAGUGAGGAAUAUUUCACAAUGAGCGAAAGCUUGAUGGAGCAAUGCCGCGUGCAGGAUGAAGGCCCUCGGGUUGUAAACUGCUUUUAUAAGAGAAGAUUAUGACGGUAACUUAUGAAUAAGGGACGGCUAACUACGUGCCAGCAGCCGCGGUCAUACGUAGGUCCCGAGCGUUAUCCGGAGUGACUGGGCGUAAAGAGUUGCGUAGGCGGUCAAGUUAGCGAGCGAUGAAAACUAUCGGCUCAACCGAUAGCUUGUUGUUCGAACUGCUUGACUCGAGAGUAUCAGAGGUCGCUGGAAUUCCUAGUGUAGCAGUGAAAUGCGUAGAUAUUAGGAAGAACACCGAUGGCGUAGGCAGGCGACUGGGAUAUUUCUGACGCUAAGGCACGAAAGCGUGGGUAGCGAACCGGAUUAGAUACCCGGGUAGUCCACGCCGUAAACGAUGGAUGCUAAUUGUUUGAGGUAUCGACCCCUCGAGUAAUAAAGCUAACGCGUUAAGCAUCCCGCCUGUGGAGUACGGCCGCAAGGCUAAAACAUAAAGGAAUUGACGGGGACCCGCACAAGCGGUGGAGGAUGUUCUUUAAUUCGAAGUUAAGCGAAGAACCUUACCAGGGCUUGACAUCCCUAGAACUUUUUCGAAAGAAAAAGGUGCCUUCGGGAGCUAGGUGACAGAUCCUGCAUGGCCGUCGUCAGCUCGUGUCGUGAGAUGUUUGGUUAAGUCCAUCAACGAGCGCAACCCUUGUCGUCAGUUGUAUUUUUCUGGCGAGACUGCCCCGGUAACGGGGAGGAAGGAGGGGAUGAUGUCUGGUCAGUAUUGGUCUUACGCCCUGGGCUAGAAACGUCCUACAAUGGUCGGUACAAUGGGCAGCCAACCCGUGAGGGGGAGCAAAUCCCAUCAAAGCCGGUCUCAGUUCGGAUUGCAGGCUGAAACUCGCCUGCAUGAAGUCGGAAUCGCUAGUAAUCGCAGAUCAGCACGUUGCGGUGAAUACGUUCCCGGGUCUUGUACACACCGCCCGUCAAACCAUGAAAGUCAGGAGCACCCGACGUCCGGAUUUAUUUCGGCCUAAGGUGAGCUUGGUGAUUGGGGUUAAGUCGUAACAAGGUAUCCGUACCGGAAGGUGCGGAUG